rnacentral:rRNA from 1 species
AGUGAACGCUGGCGGUAGGCCUAACACAUGCAAGUCGAACGGCAGCACAGUAAGAGCUUGCUCUUACGGGUGGCGAGUGGCGGACGGGUGAGGAAUACAUCGGAAUCUACUUUUUCGUGGGGGAUAACGUAGGGAAACUUACGCUAAUACCGCAUACGACCUACGGGUGAAAGCAGGGGAUCUUCGGACCUUUCGCGAUUGAAUGAGCCGAUGGCGGAUUAGCUAGUUGGCGGGGUAGAGGCCCACCAAGGCGACGAUCCGUAGCUGGUCUGAGAGGAUGAUCAGCCACACUGGAAGUGAGACACGGUCCAGACGCCUAGGGGAGGCAGCAGUGGGGAAUAGUGGGCAAGGGGCGGGAACCUGAUCCAGCCAGACCGCGUGGGUGAAGAAGACCUUCGGGUUGUAGAGCCCUUUUGUUGGGAAGGAAAAGCAGCAGGUUAAUACCGCGCUGUUCUGACGGUACCCAAAGAAUAAGCACCGGCUAACUUCGUG